rnacentral:rRNA from 1 species
GGUUGAUCCUGCCAGUAGUCAUAUGCUUGUCUCAAAGAUUAAGCCAUGCAUGUCUAAGUAUAAGCGACUUAUACAGUGAAACUGCGAAUGGCUCAUUAAAUCAGUUAUCGUUUAUUUGAUAGUACCUUGCUUAAUUGGCAUACGCCUGGCAAUUCUAGAGCUAAUACAUGCGCACAAGCCCUACUUCUGGGAGGGCUGUAUUUAUUAGAUAAAAAAUCAACGCUGCUUGAUGAUUCAUAAUAACUUGUCGAAUCGCAUGGCCUCGCGCCGGCGAUGGUUCAUUCAAAUUU